rnacentral:rRNA from 1 species
CGUAGGGGGCGAGCGUUGUCCGGAAUUAUUGGGCGUAAAGAGCGUGUAGGCUGUUCGGUAAGUCUGCCGUGAAAACCUGAGGCUCAACCUCGGGCGUGCGGUGGAUACUGCCGGGCUAGAGGACGGUAGAGGCGAGUGGAAUUCCCGGUGUAGCGGUGAAAUGCGCAGAUAUCGGGAGGAACACCAGUAGCGAAGGCGGCUCGCUGGGCCGUUCCUGACGCUGAGACGCGAAAGCUAGGGGAGCGAACAGGAUUAGAUACCCUGGUAGACCUAGCCGUAAACGAUGGACACUAGGUGUGGGGGGAGUCGAAUCCCUCUGUGCCGCAGUUAACGCGUUAAGUGUCCCGCCUGGGGAGUACGGCCGCAAGGCUA